UAAAUGCAUGGUUGAAACUGCAGUUCAGUUUGGUGUUACAACCAUAACACCAGAACAGGUUCUAAGGUUACAUAGUCUUACUGACAUUGAGCUUAAGUCUUCAGUUUUGAAAGUCACUUAGUUUGUCAGAACUUGAUGUUUUUUGCUACAGUUAAUAAAGCAACAUCGUCUGCGUAGAUGAAUUUCUUGGACACUUGUUGGUAUAUCUGCAGUGUAUAUGUUGAACAGCAGGGGAGCAGGAACUGAUCCUUGAAACUCAUUUUCCAGGACUUUUUACUUCCUGUCCUUACCUACUGUCAUUGUGAAGCUUUGGUUGGUUGAGUGUGUUGACUAGUGUCUUGUUUGGAAUUCUGAGUUUCCUAAGUAACACGGGGUCCUAAGGCGAGCUCAGGGAGGACAGAAACCUACCGUGCAGCAGAAGGGCAAAAGCUUGCUUGAUCUUGAUUUUCAGAAUGAGUACAGACUAUGAAAGCGGGGCCUCAUGAACCGUCAGGUUUUUGGGUUCCAAGCAGGAGGUGUCAGUUACUACAGGGAUAACUGGCUUGUGGCGGCCGGUUAGUUUUACUCUACUGAUGU
rnacentral:ncRNA from 1 species